rnacentral:rRNA from 1 species
GACGAACGCUGGCGGCGUGCUUAACACAUGCAAGUCGAACGGAAAGGCCCUGCUUUUGUGGGGUGCUCGAGUGGCGAACGGGUGAGUAACACGUGAGUAACCUGCCCUUGACUUUGGGAUAACUUCAGGAAACUGGGGCUAAUACCGUAUAGGAGCUCCUGCUGCAUGGUGGGGGUUGGAAAGUUUCGGCGGUUGGGGAUGGACUCGCGGCUUAUCAGCUUGUUGGUGGGGUAGUGGCUUACCAAGGCUUUGACGGGUAGCCGGCCUGAGAGGGUGACCGGCCACAUUGGGACUGCGAUACGGCCCAGACUCCUACGGGAGGCAGCAGUGGGGAAUAUUGCACAAUGGGCGGAAGCCUGAUGAAGCAACGCCGCGUGCGGGAUGACGGCCUUCGGGUUGUAAACCGCUUUCGCCUGUGACGAAGCGUGAGUGACGGUAAUGGGUAAAGAAGCACCGGCUAACUACGUG